AUACGAAGGGGGGCUAGCGUUGUUCGGAAUUACUGGGCGUAAAGCGCACGUAGGCGGGUCGUUAAGUCAGGGGUGAAAUCCCGGAGCUCAACUCCGGAACUGCCUUUGAUACUGGCGAUCUUGAGAUCGGAAGAGGUGAGUGGAAUUCCCAGUGUAGAGGUGAAAUUCGUAGAUAUUGGGAAGAACACCAGUGGCGAAGGCGGCUCACUGGUCCGAUACUGACGCUGAGGUGCGAAAGCGUGGGGAGC
rnacentral:rRNA from 1 species